CCCCCCCCCCCCCCCCAUCUUGUGUGUUGUGUAAUAUGCCUAGGCAUGUAUUAUUGCUCUGCAAAGCUCAUAAUGCAAGAACACAAUUUAACAGGAAUUGUUUUUGAGUAGCCACCCUUGUUUAUCUUCAAAUCAUUUUGUUUGUAAAUAGUAUGCUGCACUCCUACGCUGGUUAUUAAUGAUGAAUGAUUAGCAUUACACACAACGAAUUCAAUAAGGAAUAGCAAUUAGAGCAAUUAGCAAUUCCCUUUCUGAACGAUUUGUUAGUUCUCCCAAUCUUGUGUCUGGUUACUUGCAUCGCUCAUUCCAUGCAAUGUUUUACCAUCUUUGCGCUAGAUACCCCCACCUCCAGUGUUUGCCAUGUUGCCCAGAUGUAUAUGUUAUAAUACUUAUUGUUGAUUUUGUUACUGUUGAUGGGCAGCAAUGGGUGUUUGAAUUGAGUGUUUAGCUACAGCGUUAGCUGUGAAUUGAGUGUAUAGCUGUGAAUUGAGUGUUUAGCUACAGAGUUAGCUUGCAGAGGUUAACAGAAUAAUGUUAGUCCUAGUUGUAAUAUUAGUUUUAUUGCAAUCAGAAAACCAAAUAUUCGAUUAGUUCAAAACGUUAGGUCUUUUUGUUUUGUUGGAGUUCCUUAAAAAUCUCUUUGAAAAUAUUCUAAAAUGUGAUAACCAUUUCUAUGUCAUUUUAAUUCAAUCCUCAAAUGUCUUUUUACAUUUUUAUUUGUACAUAUAAUGCUUUCACAUGAAGUUCUUAGAUCACAAAUGAGGUUGGUCUAUGCAUGUUGUUUUAUAGAUUUUUACAUUAUUAGGAGAACAGUAACUGUUUGGCUGCUAAUUAAGUUAUAGUGAUGUUUUUUUUAAAAAUAAAGUAGGGAUUGAAUGUGAUAUGUUUUAAAAUUGAAUUCCUUUUCUUAUGUUGGAUUUAAAAAAAAAAAGAGACCCAGGCCUAUUAUUAUUUGAGUCAAAAUUAUGAAAAAUAUUUUUUUUCAAAGCUUAGAUUUGUGCUAUGAGAUUUGUAGUAUGGUUUUCCUCAAAGUAAAUAAAUAAAUUUAUUAAAUAAAAGCAAGUCCAAACCAGUGCUUGUGUUAAAUCUGUUUAGUACGGCUGACUGGGAACUUCAAAAUGUCAGCUUGAUUUUUCCAAAUUCCAUCACCUUUGCUGUCCUGCCAGAUAUUUUAAGCCAAAAUAAUCUACAUUUUUAAAGGAAUGUUCAAAAUGUAUGCAAUGUGAAAUAAAACAUUUCAAUGUUGCUGACACCAAUUUCUGUUCUAUUAUUUCAUUUUGUGGAAGUAAUGAAUACCAUUAUGAAAAUAAUUUUAUUUUUGCUGUUCCAAUUAUAAAUAUUUCUAUGCAUCUGUUGAGCUUUUGUUUUGUUUUUAACAGAACACUUUGGCAUUCCAUUAGAUUCUCUAAUUCAUUCCAAAAUAUUUGUACAUUUCUUUAUCAGAGUCCAUUCCAUCAACUGUUUAGCAUUAGAGUCCAUUCCAUCAACUGUAUAGCAUCCGGUACUCAGUGGACAAGGUACAUUUCCUCAUGCACAAAUAUCAAACAUGCAAACGAAACAUUUUAUAUUUUAUGAUCACAUAAUCUUUAAAAGGAAUAUAUUCUAAUUGAAUUACUGAGUACAAUUUACAAAAUUGUAUGUUAUUAUUAUUGCAGUUCUAUGUAUCAUUCUAACCAUUUGCCAAACUGUUUUGAACAUAUUUUUGAAAUCAUAUUUUAGAAUGUCAUUCAAUUUUAAACUGUAAUGCUUAAAAAUUGAAUUAAACUUUGAAACAUUGAAAACAGUGUUUGAAUUGAAACAAUUUAUGAACUAGUGAAUCUGAGAUAAUGGGUACUGACUGGUACUUAAUACAAAACUCUUUAAAAAAAAAAAAAA